CCAGGGGGCCGGGCAGCCGCGUGCACCGUAAAGUGUUCGAGGAAAGUCCGGGCUCCACGAAACAAGGGUGGCGGGUAACGCCCGCCGCGGGCGACCGUAGGGAAAGUGCCACAGAGAGUAGACCGCCCUGUUCGCAGGGUAAGGCUGAAAGGGUGCGGUAAGAGCGCACCGGGGCGCUGGUAACAGCGCUCGCACGGCAAACCCCACCCGGAGCAAGGCCAAAUAGGGGUCUCGCGCGAAAGCAGGGGCGUUUCGUCCCGAGAGACCCGGGUUGGCUGCUUGAGCCGCGCGGUAACGCACGGCCGAGAUGAAUGGCUGCCCCCGAACGGCCGGUCCUUCACGGGAUACCGCCUUCGGGACAGAACCCGGCUUACAGGCCCCCUGGCAAU
rnacentral:RNase_P_RNA from 2 species